rnacentral:lncRNA from 1 species
CUAUGAAGGAUACUGUGGCUAGAAGUCGUCCUGUCGUCCUGCCUCACAGUAACAUCGUUACCGAAUUCUCAGCAGGUGAACCAAAUGAAAUGGUCAACUGAAAGCCAACCAGGGUAAAACAGAUCUUUUAUUUCUUGUUGUUGUUAUUAUUAUUUUUUUUUAUGUGGGGACAUUCAAGUGAACUGCUAUAUGCAUUUGCCCCCAGUCUCUCCUUGUGAGAAGUGAAUUUCUUCAACGUUUAUAGAACUGAGGUAUUACAUUAUUGGAUGAAUUAAGAAAACAAUCUAACCUGAUGUGUGAAAAUUUCUGCUUGUGAGAAUCCGUGUUAUUUCAAUUAUACAAUCAAGAGCCUAAUUCGUAUAAAAGAAACACAGCAGCUCGUUGCUCAUCUUUUUAUCUAAGGACGGUUUGUCUUGACAGAGGGUGUCUGGCUGUUUUGGGGAAACUAUUCCUGACCUUAUUUUGACUAAAAAGUUGCCUGCCGUACCAGGGUCUUGUCCUGUCACUCUGGCUGGAAUACAGUGGCAUAAUCAUAGCUCACUGCGGCCUCCAUCUCCUGGGUUCAAGUGAUUCUCCUGCUUCAGCUUCCCAAGUAUCUGGGACUACAGGCAUCAAAAAAUCACCAUGUACCAACCUAUCCAAACUUAUCCAUGGAUGAAUCUAUCCAGAAGACGGGAGUUCCGAUGCUUGUCUUGCUCUGAAUGUCUGCUUGUCACCUGCUUAGGGUUAUCGACUGUGAUUCUGGGACUCAUUGUUGUUCUACAGGACCCCUCUGACUCUGUGGUUUUCUCUACUGGAUUAACAAUGAUAGCCAUAGGUGCUUUUUUUGUUGUCCUCACUGGAGUGACAGCCCUGUGUACGGUUACAGUCGACGAGAACUUGCAGAAAACCACGAGGCUAAGACUAGGAGUGAUACGAAAAAGCGGAAGUCUCCAAGGAACUACAGAGCCUUCCAUGACUCACUCAAUAAUCGCUAGCACCUCGCUGUAGCUGUACAUUGAACCCUGGCAUCUUCGUCUGUGGAACUACGUCUCCUGAGCAUUGUUUUUAAAUAGAAAUA